UAGCUUGGGAAUCUAGCUUAUGGAGGGGGAUAACUACGGGAAACUGUAGCUAAUACCGCGUAGAAUCGAGAGAUGAAAGUGUGGGACCUUCGGGCCACAUGCCAUAGGAUGAGCCCAAGUGGGAUUAGGUAGUUGGUGAGGUAAAGGCUCACCAAGCCGACGAUCUCUAGCUGGUCUGAGAGGAUGACCAGCCACACUGGGACUGAGACACGGCCCAG
rnacentral:rRNA from 1 species